GUAGGAAGCCGGUUCCUGCAUUAUAAUGCUGCCUGAAGACACCAAGGUGUGAAUUACUUCACAGGCGCCGGGUUAUCUCCAUUCCUUUGAUCUCUGCCUAUCCCGUGGCUCAUUUUUGCCUGAGGAGCUGAAGCCAUUCAUAGGAAGGAUCCGAGUGUCCUGCGUGUAUUUCUUGCUGGCGAGGAAUACAGAGCGGGCGCGGGACAUAUGGUGCCGAAACCCGGGAAUUGUUAACAUCUCCAGCACCUCGGAGACCCCUUGGCUACAAGGCGGAUUCAGAACUGCAGGAUGGUAAAUUCGGAGAGGAUGAAGAGAAUCCCCUGUGGAUCCCAGAAAGAUUCAACCUAAAGAGCCUCUACAGACCUUCAAAAGUCGAAACUCCACCCUCUACCCCCGGGAGUUGAGAGCCGCUAUUGUUAUCCAGAUUAACUCCUGCCCUUGGCGGAGCGAUUGUCUCUACUUAAGGGGUGGGGGUAAUUGUUCGAUGCAGCCGUUUACAGAUUGCUGUUAUUUUUGGCGGGUCUGUGAGAAAAGGGGUGGAUAUAAUUGUUUGAUGCAGCCACCUGCGAAAUGCUGUUACUUCUUUGGCUGGCAUGUAAGCUCCAGGGCUCAAACCAAGAGAUCAUCCAAGCGCUUAUAUUUUGGCUA
rnacentral:lncRNA from 1 species